rnacentral:rRNA from 1 species
AACGAACGCUGGCGGCGUGCCUAACACAUGCAAGUCGAACGCGAAAGGGGGCAACCCCCGGUAGCGUGGCAGACGGGUGAGUAACACGUGGGUAACCUACCCGGAGGUGGGGGAUAACCCUUCGAAAGGAGGGCUAAUACCGCAUGACAUCGCGGGAACUUCGGUCCUUGCGAUCAAAGCUGGCCUCUGUUUACAAGCUAGCGCCACCGGAUGGGCCCGCGCCCCAUUAGCUAGUUGGUGAGGUAACGGCUCACCAAGGCGACGAUGGGUAGCCGGCGUGAGAGGGCGAUCGGCCACACUGGAACUGCGACACGGUCCAGACUCCUACGGGAGGCAGCAGUGAGGAAUGUUGCGCAAUGGGCGAAAGCCUGACGCAGCGACGCCGCGUGGAGGAUGAAGGUCUUCGGAUUGUAAACUCCUGUCGGGUGGGACGAAUGCCGUGAGGGUGAAUACCCCUCGCGGUUGACGGUACCGCUGGAGGAAGCCCCGGCUAACUCCGUGCCAGCAGCCGCCGUAAGAC